CGCCGGCCGCCCGCCCGCCUCGGGCAUUCUGUCCCGGCGUCGCCUGGGGUGGUGGCGACCCGCGUCGCCGGUCUCAGCGCUGCACGGAAACUUUUCCUGCUCCGGAUGGAUUAAAGUUGCCUGGAUUUUCUCUUUCUUUGCGAAAGAAAUCAUUCAUUUGCACCUAACCUGGGAUUUUUAUGCUGGGGCUGCUGCAGGGCGCUUGGAGGAAGGAAGCCGUGCUGCUGUCUAUGUGGGGUUGCCACCGACACCGAAGGAGCUGGGGCUUGCGUCGGAAAUCUGCACCCUCGAGCGAGUUCGGACUCGAGCUGGGCCUCGGGGCUGCGGGAUCCAGCUCUCGGCUCUAGGCGGUCCCCGAGACGCCGGUGGCCACUGGGCUCCGGGACCGCACGUGCGGCUCCCCCCUCGCCGCGCAGAUCCUGCAGGGGGCACCAGCCCGGGGAGGUGGAGGCUCCUCCCGCCCGGAGCUGCGCCCCUACCAGCUCCGAGGGUGUAGCCGGCGGCGCCUGGGACGCCCCCUCCCCUCAAAGUGUCCCCGAAUUGCGCUCCCUGCCCCCCAGAGCUCCGGCGGAGACCCUCGGGCGCCACGGCCACCCCGAGCUGGAUGUGACCGAGCCCGGGCCGGGGCCAAGUCGUCGACGACUGUUGCCCCCUCGGCCCCUUCCCGCUCCCUCCUCAGCCAUGGCCCCCAGGAUGUCGGGCCGCGGCGGCGCCGCCCUGCUCUGCCUCUCGGCGCUGCUCGCCCACGGUAAGUGUCGCGGCGCGGACUGGGGAGUGAGGAUGCGGCGGGCGCCGCUGGAGGGGGCACCGAGAGACGGGCGAAAGGCGAGCCCCCACCCCCGGACUCGCAGCCCGGCAUCUCGGGCUACAGCCGAGUUACCUCCAGCACCCCCAGUCCUCUGGCGGGAGCGGAGGCUGCGAGCCCCGCCCUGGGGACCGAGCCCGGACCAGGAAAAGGGAGGGGAGGGGGGGGUACUCCAGUCCUUCCCUGGUUAGGAGGAAGGGUCCAAACCCGAGUCUGGGGGCGUGUCCGCCCACGGAAAUCUAUGGGGGAUCCAAGGGAUCGGCUCGAUCGUGCCCGGGCCGCCCUUUCCCACUCCCACCCCCGCAGCCGGCGGGACCCGGGCCGGUUCGGGUCCGCGGGGACCGGGUCUCCUCCGCCCCGGGUGCGCAGGCCGGUGCGGGGCCGCGCCGCCCGGAGCCUCGCUUCCUGCGGCGGUCCU
rnacentral:lncRNA from 1 species